AAGACCUUGCGCUUUUGGAGCGGCCGAUGUCUGAUUAGCUUGUUGGUAAGGUAAAAGCUUACCAAGGCUUCGAUCAGUAGCUGGUCUGAGAGGACGGCCAGCCACACUGGGACUGAGACACGGCCCAGACUCCUACGGGAGGCAGCAGUGGGGAAUUUUGGACAAUGGGGGCAACCCUGAUCCAGCCAUGCCGCGUGAGUGAAGAAGGCCUUCGGGUUGUAAAGCUCUUUCAGCCGGAACGAAACGGUUACGGUUAAUACCCGUGAUUACUGACGGUACCGGAAGAAGAAGCACCGGCUAACUACGUGCCAGCAGCCGCGGUAAUACGUAGGGUGCGAGCGUUAAUCGGAAUUACUGGGCGUAAAGCGUGCGCAGGUGGUUUUGUAAGUCAGAUGUGAAAUCCCCGGGCUUAACCUGGGAACU
rnacentral:rRNA from 1 species